GCUGAGCUGUGAUGGGGAAGCUCCUUAUGGAGCGAAGUCUUUGAUUCCCCGCUGCCAAGAAAAGCUUCUAGCGAGAUAAAAGGUGCCUGUACCGCAAACCGACACAGGUAGGCGAGGAGAGAAUCCUAAGGUGUGCGAGAGAACUCUGGUUAAGGAACUCGGCAAAAUGACCCCGUAACUUCGGGAGAAGGGGUGCUUUCUUAACGGAAAGCCGCAGUGAAUAGGCCCAAGCGACUGUUUAGCAAAAACACAGCUCUCUGCGAAGCCGUAAGGCGAAGUAUAGGGGGUGACACCUGCCCGGUGCUGGAAGGUUAAGGAGAGGGGUUAGCGUAAGCGAAGCUCUGAACUGAAGCCCCAGUAAACGGCGGCCGUAACUAUAACGGUCCUAAGGUAGCGAAAUUCCUUGUCGGGUAAGUUCCGACCCGCACGAAAGGUGUAACGAUUUGGGCACUGUCUCAACCAGAGACUCGGUGAAAUUAUAGUACCUGUGAAGAUGCAGGUUACCCGCGACAGGACGGAAAGACCCCGUGGAGCUUUACUGUAGCCUGAUAUUGAAUUUUGGUACAGUUUGUACAGGAUAGGCGGGAGCCAUUGAAACCGGAGCGCUAGCUUCGGUGGAGGCGCUGGUGGGAUACCGCCCUGACUGUAUUGAAAUUCUAACCUACGGGUCUUAUCGACCCGGGAGACAGUGUCAGGUGGGCAGUUUGACUGGGGCGGUCGCCUCCUAAAGUGUAACGGAGGCGCCCAAAGGUUCCCUCAGAAUGGUUGGAAAUCAUUCGUAGAGUGCAAAGGCAUAAGGGAGCUUGACUGCGAGACCUACAAGUCGAGCAGGGACGAAAGUCGGGCUUAGUGAUCCGGUGGUUCCGCAUGGAAGGGCCAUCGCUCAACGGAUAAAAGCUACCCCGGGGAUAACAGGCUUAUCUCCCCCAAGAGUCCACAUCGACGGGGAGGUUUGGCACCUCGAUGUCGGCUCAUCGCAUCCUGGGGCUGUAGUCGGUCCCAAGGGUUGGGCUGUUCGCCCAUUAAAGCGGUACGCGAGCUGGGUUCAGAACGUCGUGAGACAGUUCGGUCCCUAUCCGUCGUGGGCGUAGGAAAUUUGAGAGGAGCUGUCCUUAGUACGAGAGGACCGGGAUGGACGCACCGCUGGUGUACCAGUUGUUCUGCCAAGGGCAUAGCUGGGUAGCUAUGUGCGGAAGGGAUAAGUGCUGAAAGCAUCUAAGCAUGAAGCCCCCCUCAAGAUGAGAUUUCCCAUAGCGUAAGCUAGUAAGAUCCCUGAAAGAUGAUCAGGUUGAUAGGUUCGAGGUGGAAGCAUGGUGACAUGUGGAGCUGACGAAUACUAAUAGAUCGAGGACUUAACCAU
rnacentral:rRNA from 6 species